rnacentral:rRNA from 1 species
AGAGUUUGAUCAUGGCUCAGAACGUACGCUGGCGGCACGCCUAACACAUGCAAGUCGAACGAAGUAGCAAUACUUAGUGGCAGACGGGCGAGUAACAUGUAGGUAUCUGCCCUUUGGCCUGGAAUAACACGAGGAAACUUGUGCUAAUACCGGAUAAGUCUUUACGGAGAAAGCUUUAUGCACCAUUGGAUGAGCCUGCACUUGAUUAGUUUGUUGGUGGGGUAAUGGCCUACCAAGACCGUGAUCAAUAGCUGAUUUGAGAGGAUGAUCAGCCACAUUGGGACUGAGACACGGCCCAAACUCCUACGGGAGGCAGCAGUGGGGAAUCUUGCACAAUGGAGGAAACUCUGAUGCAGCGAUGCCGCGUGAGUGAAGAAGGCCUUUGGGUUGUAAAGCUCUUUCGUCGGGGAAGAAAAUGACUGUACCCGAAUAAGAAGGUCCGGCUAACUUCGUGCCAGCAGCCGCGGUAAUACGAAGGGACCUAGCGUAGUUCGGAAUUACUGGGCUUAAAGAGUUCGUAGGUGGUUGAAAAAGUUGGUGGUGAAAUCCCAGAGCUUAACUCUGGAACUGCCAUCAAAACUUUUCAGCUAGAGUAUGAUAGAGGAAAGCAGAAUUUCUAGUGUAGAGGUGAAAUUCGUAGAUAUUAGAAAGAAUACCAAUUGCGAAGGCAGCUUUCUGGAUCAUUACUGACACUGAGGAACGAAAGCAUGGGUAGCGAAGAGGAUUAGAUACCCUCGUAGUCCAUGCCGUAAACGAUGUGUGUUAGACGUUGGAAAUUUAUUUUCAGUGUCGCAGCGAAAGCGAUAAACACACCGCCUGGGGAGUACGACCGCAAGGUUAAAACUCAAAUGAAUUGAC